rnacentral:misc_RNA from 1 species
GAUGAAGAACGUAGCGAAAUGCGAUAAGUAAUGUGAAUUGCAGAAUUCAGUGAAUCAUCGAAUCUUUGAACGCACAUUGCGCCCCCUGGUAUUCCGGGGGGCAUGCCUGUCCGAGCGUCAUUACAACCCUCAAGCUCAGCUUGGUGUUGGGCCCCGCCGCCCCGGCGGGCCCUAAAGUCAGUGGCGGUGCCGUCCGGCUCCGAGCGUAGUAAUUCUUCUCGCUCUGGAGGUCCGGUCGUGAGCUUGCCAGCAACCCCCAAUUUUUUUCAGGUUGACCUCGGAUCAGGUAGGGAUACCCGCUGAACUUAAGCAUAUCAAUAAGCGGAGGA